GAGACUGCCGGUGUUAAACCGGAGGAAGGUGGGAUGACGUCAAGUCCUCAUGGCCUUUAUGCUUAGGGCUACACACGUGCUACAAUGGGUGGUACAAAGAGAAGCCAACUCGCGAGAGCGCGCCAAUCUCAAAAAGCCAUCCUCAGUUCGGAUUGGAGUCUGCAACUCGACUCCAUGAAGUUGGAAUCGCUAGUAAUCGCGGAUCAGCAUGCCGCGGUCGAAUACGUUCCCGGGCCUU
rnacentral:rRNA from 1 species